GGAUUGAUGGUGCAUUCAUGAAGGGUCCAUACCAUGGUAUGAUCCUGACAGCAGUGAUGGGAACAAUUGCACAUACCCUUUGGCAUAUGCAGUUGUUGAAGCAGAGAACUUUAAUUCAUGGACCUGGUUUUUAACUAACUUAGGAGAUGAUCUUGGUUUGUAUGCAAACUCCAACUUCACUUUCAUAUCAGAUAGACAGAAGGGGUUAUUGCCUGCACUUGAGAAACUUUUCCCAGCAGCAGAGCAUAGAUAUUGCCUAAGGCAUCUUCAUGAGAACAUGAAACGUAAAUGGAGGGGCAAGGAAUUCAAGGAUUGUCUUUGGAAAUGUGCAACAUGUACCACCAUACCACAAUUCAACAGUGCCAUGGAAGAACUAAAGAAACUUAACAGUGAAGCAUAUGACUGGCUUAAUUCUAUUCCACCUAAGCACUGGUCCAGAUCCCACUUCUCAGGUAUAUAAUAUUAUGUUUAUAAGUGUAUAAUUUUUAAAUAUAAUCUAAUACAGUUGUGUUUUAUUAGGGAGGGCACAUUGUGAUGCUGUGUUGAAUAAUAUGUGUGAGAGUUUGAAUAGCAAGAUAGUGAAGGGUCGUGAUAAGCCAAUUAUCAGUUGCUUGGAGUUUAUUAGGGAGUAUAUCAUGAGGAAAAUUGUCAUGGUUCAAAAAGAAAUUGAUAAAGCUAAUGGCCCAUUAACUCCUACAGCCACUAAGACCCUUGAAAAAAUUAAAGAAAGGGCAGCACAGUGUAGGGCAGUGUUCUGUGGCAAUGGGAAGUACCAGGUUACAAGUGAAGGUACUAAUCAGUAUGUGGUUAAUAUGGACCAACAAACUUGUUCAUGUAAUAGGUGGGAACUGACAGGCAUACCCUGCAAACAUAGUAUAGCAGCUAUAUGGGAUAUGAGGCUCAACAAUGAAAAUGUUGGAAUACCUGAGACAUGGGUACACCCAACUUAUUGGCUCAAUACAUGGAAAGAAAUGUAUGUCUUCAAAGUUGAACCUAUUAAUGGGAGGUUAUUGUGGGAAAAAAGCACAUGUCCUACCAAGUUGAUACCACCAAAGUAUCGUGUCCCUA